AUCUGAAACCUCAGAGUGCCAACCCCAACAUUCCUACGCAUUCCCACUGAUCACCUUACACAACUUCAUAGUUAUCUUCAGGCAUCCAUGUUCAAAUGGGUUUUGCUGCAUUACUGAUUUUAUUGGAGCAUCCGAGCUGAGUUGUGCCAGCAGCUAAGAUUAAAAAAAAAAA